rnacentral:lncRNA from 1 species
CGCACGGUUGAUCUUAUUUUGAUUUUCCACCGUGGGGUAGUAUUCAUGAUUCAGAUUAAUAUUUGAAUAUGUAUGGGAAUCAGGUAUUGUGGAUUCAUGGCUUCCAAUAAACGCAAGCGUCUAUUGUUAAUUACCCCUACAGAAUAUUAGGGCACCUUCGAUUAAGAGACCUCUGAAAUGCUGAAGAUAAACUGGAAUUGGACAAAAGAAAAUUUAUAAUUUAUUGCUCAAUUACAUGGCUUUAACCAAGGGCAUACCCUCAGUGUACAUGAAUAGAGCGUAAAGAAAAUAUAUUUUUCAAUUGUAUCUUAGUUAUAUAUUCUAAGAUACCCAAUAUAUGGUCAAAUUAAUUUUGUUGGACUCUAUAUGUUGUGGAGCUCAACACUAUUCACCCUAAGAUGAAAGAUUGAUUAAAUUCCAUAUAUAUAUGCAUUGGAAUUUAAUCAGAUUUAAUUCAGAUUAAACUCUAAUUAUAUGUAUUAGAGUUUGAUUUGGUUAAUUGAACUUUAAAUGUAUGUGAUAAAGUCCAAUAGAUGAUCAGAUUUUGUUGAGCUCUAUAUAUUUUGGAGCUCAACUUUGUUUACCAUGAGAUGAAAGAUUGAUUAAAUCCCAUAUAUAUACAUUGGAAUUUAAUCGAACUUGAUUAAACUCUGAACUUUAAAUAUAUGUAAUAAAGUCCAAUAGAGUUUGAUUUGAGCUUUCAUCCUAAAUAUAUGUGUUAGGAUUAGCCCCAAAUA